AUGUGUGCUUCUGUUGUAGCACAGUUGCAAGCAUCUGGUGUUGCUGAGAGCACAGUCCAAGCAAUGGUGGGGUCCAUGGAGGAACUUGUAAAUGACAUUCAUAGGCAAGCGAGAGAGGCAGUUGUCAGCUGUACUUCAGAAAUUCAAGGCACAGAUUUGGAAAAGAAGGUGGAAAAGUGUUUUGAUCAACUAGAAAAUCCUUUCUCAACCUUGAACACAAGAGUCAAACGACAGAAGUUCUUUGAGGAAAAAUGGGAAAUUGUUGAACCUGUUGAAUAUGUUCUUGGGGUGAGGUUUGAUGUUAGCAGAGAUAAAACAACAGGAGUUUACAAUCAGGUCCCUGUAACAGAUACAUUUGUGUAUACACCCAUCCUGGGAACUCUUAAGUCUAUGUUCAAGAACACUGAGUUAUGUGAAAGUUUCUUGCAAACCAAACAAUACGAAGAAGGUAUUUAUAAAGACAUAUGUGAUGGUUCAUACUUCAAGAGUAACAUUUUGUUUUCCCAGAAAAAACAUGCUCUACAGAUUCAACUCUAUUUUGAUGAGUUUGAGACAGUAAAUCCCUUAGGUUCAAAGAAAGGGAUUCACAAACUUGGUUGUACUUACUUUAUAUUGCGGAACCUGCCCCCAAAAUAUAAUUCUGUGUUGAUGAAUAUACAUGUUGUGGCACUCUUUCACUCACAAGACCUGAAGACUUAUGGAUUUGAUAACAUCCUGAAGCCUCUUGUUGAUCUUAAAAUACUUGAAACACAAGGAAUUGAGGUGCCUUUCUCAGACUUACCAUUGCUUGGUUCUGUUAUACAAGUAACAGGGGACAACCUAGGUUUACAUGGACUGUUUGGUUUUGUUGAGUCCUUCAGUGCUACGUAUUUCUGUAGAUUUUGUUUGACAAGUAAGGAUGAGUCACAGUCUGUCUUUACUGAAGAUGACCCUGGCGUGAUUUUUCGUACAAAAGAAAUCUAUGCAGAACAUUGUGCAGCUCUACAGGAAGAUCCUAUGUUGGGUUCAACAUUUGGUGUCAAAAAGACAUGCUUGCUCAAUACAUUGCAUUUUUUCCACACCUCUGACAACUAUGCAGUUGACAUAAUGCAUGAUUUACUUGAAGGUGUAGUACAGUACGAACUCAAACUUGUCUUUCAAUACCUUGUCAACCAGAAAUAUCUGUCAUUAGAAUCUUUGUCACAGAGGAUGCAAAGUUUCAAGAGAAGAAAAGGCCAAGUGGGUUGA
rnacentral:lncRNA from 1 species